GAUGAACGCUGGCGGCGUGCCUAAUACAUGCAAGUCGAGCGAACGGACGAGAAGCUUGCUUCUCUGAUGUUAGCGGCGGACGGGUGAGUAACACGUGGAUAACCCACCUAUAAGACUGGGAUAACUUCGGGAAACCGGAGCUAAUACCGGAUAAUAUUUUGAACCGCAUGGUUCAAAAGUGAAAGACGGUCUUGCUGUCACUUAUAGAUGGAUCCGCGCUGCAUUAGCUAGUUGGUAAGGUAACGGCUUACCAAGGCAACGAUGCAUAGCCGACCUGAGAGGGUGAUCGGCCACACUGGAACUGAGACACGGUCCAGACUCCUACGGGAGGCAGCAGUAGGGAAUCUUCCGCAAUGGGCGAAAGCCUGACGGAGCAACGCCGCGUGAGUGAUGAAGGUCUUCGGAUCGUAAAACUCUGUUAUUAGGGAAGAACAUAUGUGUAAGUAACUGUGCACAUCUUGACGGUACCUAAUCAGAAAGCCACGGCUAACUACGUGCCAGCAGCCGCGGUAAUACGUAGGUGGCAAGCGUUAUCCGGAAUUAUUGGGCGUAAAGCGCGCGUAGGCGGUUUUUUAAGUCUGAUGUGAAAGCCCACGGCUCAACCGUGGAGGGUCAUUGGAAACUGGAAAACUUGAGUGCAGAAGAGGAAAGUGGAAUUCCAUGUGUAGCGGUGAAAUGCGCAGAGAUAUGGAGGAACACCAGUGGCGAAGGCGACUUUCUGGUCUGUAACUGACGCUGAUGUGCGAAAGCGUGGGGAUCAAACAGGAUUAGAUACCCUGGUAGUCCACGCCGUAAACGAUGAGUGCUAAGUGUUAGGGGGUUUCCGCCCCUUAGUGCUGCAGCUAACGCAUUAAGCACUCCGCCUGGGGAGUACGACCGCAAGGUUGAAACUCAAAGGAAUUGACGGGGACCCGCACAAGCGGUGGAGCAUGUGGUUUAAUUCGAAGCAACGCGAAGAACCUUACCAAAUCUUGACAUCCUUUGACAACUCUAGAGAUAGAGCCUUCCCCUUCGGGGGACAAAGUGACAGGUGGUGCAUGGUUGUCGUCAGCUCGUGUCGUGAGAUGUUGGGUUAAGUCCCGCAACGAGCGCAACCCUUAAGCUUAGUUGCCAUCAUUAAGUUGGGCACUCUAAGUUGACUGCCGGUGACAAACCGGAGGAAGGUGGGGAUGACGUCAAAUCAUCAUGCCCCUUAUGAUUUGGGCUACACACGUGCUACAAUGGACAAUACAAAGGGCAGCGAAACCGCGAGGUCAAGCAAAUCCCACAAAGUUGUUCUCAGUUCGGAUUGUAGUCUGCAACUCGACUACAUGAAGCUGGAAUCGCUAGUAAUCGUAGAUCAGCAUGCUACGGUGAAUACGUUCCCGGGUCU
rnacentral:rRNA from 1 species